rnacentral:rRNA from 1 species
UACGGGGGGGGCAAGCGUUGUUCGGAAUUACUGGGCGUAAAGGGCUCGUAGGUGGCCAACUAAGUCAGACGUGAAAUCCCUCAGCUUAACUGGGGAACUGCGUCUGAUACUGGAUGGCUUGAGUUUGGGAGAGGGACGCGGAAUUCCAGGUGUAGCGGUGAAAUGCGUAGAUAUCUGGAGGAAUACCGGUGGCGAAGGCGGCAUCCUGGACCGAGAUUGACGCUGAUGAGCGAAAGCUAGGGGAGCAAACGGG